ACCCUUGUAGUUUCAGCUUUUCCCGCAUGGUCAUUAACUGCAACGGUUGUAGGUGAAGCUUAUCCAAUUUGUUAAUAUAUUGAAUGGAGCUCGCAUUUUUUUAAUGAUAAAAAGAAUGCUUCCAAACUCUAGUAAUAUUUAUUACCUCAGUUGUGUGUUUAAGGAAGCUUACUCAUGACGUCUGGUGGAACAUAAAAUUUUUUUUCGAUAGCAUAGUAUUAAGUUGAAUACCUCAGUGCAUCAUGGUCUUGUCAAUGUUUCUGACUUGCUGACUAGGAAAUAAAGCAAAGAUUCAUGAUUAUUUAAGUUGCAAGCCAUUUUGUUUCGGAGUGUUUGCCCAGGCUUUUAACUCAGCUUAUCACCCUUCCACCCUUUUUUGAACUAAGGAAGGGUGUCCUGUGUUUUGACUGUUCUUCUAAUUUCAUUUAACUGUUUGCCACCACUUUUUUUUUUUUAAUUUUCAUACUGGUCUAUAGGAAAAAGUUCACAUAUAAUUGUAUUAAUUGUCUAUUGUUUAACAUUUGUAUUGAUGCAUUCAUGAUUAGCUUAGUUGUCUUAAGUUUUACCUCAUAUAUUAACGAGCAACUGUUUGCAGUUACAAUAUGUGCCAGAAAUGAGAACUGAUGAAUGCUUCUGGCCUAUACUUGGUUGCAAUUGCAGAAAGAAUGGCUACUGUUAAGCAUAAGAUACUGGUUUUAUCAGGUAAGGGAGGAGUUGGCAAGAGCACUUUCUCUGCCCAACUCUCAUUUGCGCUAGCAGCUAAGGAUUUCCAGGUGGGUCUACUGGACAUUGAUCUUUGUGGUCCAAGCAUUCCAAAGAUGCUUGGCUUAGAAGGUCAAGACAUUCACCAGAGCAACCUUGGGUGGUCUCCUGUUUAUGUUGAGUCCAACCUUGGAGUAAUGUCAAUUGGGUUCAUGCUCCCCAACCCUGACGAAGCAGUCAUUUGGAGAGGACCACGUAAAAAUGGGCUCAUCAAGCAAUUCCUAAAAGACGUAUAUUGGGGAGAGCUCGAUUUUCUGGUUGUUGAUGCCCCACCUGGGACCUCUGAUGAGCACAUCUCAAUUGUCCAGUUCCUUCAGGCUACUGGAAUAGAUGGAGCAAUCAUUGUCACUACCCCACAGCAAGUAUCUUUGAUUGAUGUUCGUAAAGAAGUUAGUUUCUGCAAAAAAGUUGGAGUACCAGUUCUUGGAGUUGUUGAGAACAUGAGUGGCUUGUGUCAGCCAUUGACAGAUUUCAAGUUUUUGAGGAUGACAGAGGCUGGUGAACAUACUGAUGUCACAGGGAAGGUUAUCGAGUAUAUGAGGGAGAAAGCACCUGAAAUGCUGGAUCUCAUUGCUGCCAAUGAAGUCUUUGAUAGCAGUGGUGGUGGUGCAGCAAAAAUGUGUAUGGAGAUGGGAGUACCGUUCCUCGGAAAGGUGCCAUUGGAUCCACAGAUUUGCAAGGCAGCUGAAGAAGGCAAAUCUUGCUUUACUGAACAGAAAUGCAGGGUGAGCGCGCCUGCAUUGCAGAAUAUUAUUGAGAAACUGAUGGCAAAUUAUUGGCAUGAAGAAACGCCAGUGGAGCGGUAGCUUAGAGUGAAGUAAUGUUCAACUUCACCUAUUGAUCUUUGUGGAACAAAAUUUUGUUAGGGAGUCAUCAGGUGACUGGUCAACAGUUAACGUAGAGUGGGCAUUAGAUCAUGUUGGUGACCUCUGACCAUUUCCACCACUGAUGCAGCUACAACCAGUGAAGUCCCUCCUUGGGCUGUGGAGGUAGACCUCUAGAAAUGGUAUCUUUUGUUUUUUGAAUUCAAGUGCAAAGCUUCUAAGUUUUCUCCACCAUAAUUUUUAGGAAUUUGAUAAAAAUUUCAAAUUGUGCAACAAAUCCAUUCGGAGCAAUUUAUAUCUGGUCAGUUAUUUUUGCUUUGCUUCGCUUUCUGUCUGUAAUUUGACAGUCAAGAUUCUUUUUACUUGUAUUCAUUGAAGCUCCUUGUUUUAUCAAGGGCAUGAACAUUUGAGGCAUAUGUCAUGAUCCUUGUAUGGCAGGAGGUGAAGGCCACCCCUGUUAUACUGGUAGGGUUAUAUCAGUCAAAUGUGGGUAUUACACCAGAAGAGUUGGCAUCAACAACUGUGGAUGCAAUUAAGGAAGUAAUCAAGUCUAUGCUCGGGUUAAGGACUAAAUGAGCAUUUUGGUUAGAGGAUGAAGACCAGCUUGUCUGGAGUCUUGACAGGGGACAUGCGUUUAAGAGAUCAUACACUCCACCUUGAUGAGGGUAUUUAGAGUCCUUAAAUUCAGCACCUCGUGUAAUGAAAUUUGAGAAUUGUUAUCAGAUACUAUUAUACCAGCCUUGUAUUGUUGGCAGCGAUCACUAUUGAAUUGUGCCUUUACAACAAGGCUGAGUGCAUAGUUGUUGGCACUGAGGAUAAAACAUUGUACACAGAAGUUAAUCUCCAUAAUAUUCUCAAUCGCUGUGGCUUGGCAGGGUUAAGAGACAGAAAUGGAUAUAGAUGCAUGGAUACUUUGGAUUAUCUCCGAUCUAGUGCAGACAAAGGUGUAGGACACAAAAAACUUUGAGCCAUCGACUCAAGCAAAUCCCAGCCCCGGUACAGGCAGGCACACAUAAAGAUUAUCAAAUGAUGUUUUGAGGUAAUAUCACUGAAAUCGACAUCACAAGAUUUUUGUUUGUACGGUGGUCUAUGUGCUGUAUGUCAACUGAGAAUUUAGAUAGAUUCUUUAUCAUCUCGUUUAAUCUUUUAUGUUAGAAAUAUUGGUAUAUAGUACACUUCCUCAUAUCAGUUACCUUUCAAAUGAGUUGUCUUUGAACGGCUUUAUGUUUUGUGAACCUCAUUUGCCUAAACAUCUUAUUCAACAUGCAUAGUGGGAAGGUGGCCACAACAUUUUCUCUCAUAGGGAUGUUUUCUUUUCCACCCCAUUUUCUUCAAAGUUCCAUAUUGAUAAACACUUUGACCUUGAUUUUUCCCUACUAAAAAAGUGAUCUCUCACCCUUCUUUCUUGUCAUUUACCUUUCAUGGAAGCCAUGGAUUUCAUAUGCAAGGCAGGGGAUUUUCAAUUACAGUGUUCUGCAGCUGAAAAUUUUGGCAUGAAAAGAUGGAAGUGUAGAAAAUCAUGUUCCUUAAAUUGAAAAUUUUGAUGGAGGGUCCAUGUCCCCCCACCAAUCUCACCCAUGCAAACUACCCUGGUGGUAGGGUCUUGUUUGUGAUGGUUGGGAAACUUUUAUGAUGUUCCAGCUUGGAACAAGCAUAUUCUCUAUGGUAGUUGGUAUAUUCACCAAUCAGUCAAAACCAUCUAAGAAAAAGUUAGCUCAUUAAGGACAUUUAAUUUAUUAUUAUACACAAUGGAGUUACUUUGACUAUACUAGGAUGCAAGAGAAACAUUAAGCCUGCUCUUGGGCCUUUUUUUUUCAUUAAAAUGUAAUUUUUUAACAAUAUAGAUGUUGAAUUAUUUUUAAUAUGAAAAAAUAAAAAAAAUAUUUUAUAAUUAGAUUAAAAAAAAAAGAAAUAGGGACGAGGAAGAGUAUUAUUACGGGAUGAUUUUGUUAGAAAAUUUGCUUUUUAAAAUUUUAAUUUUUUUCCCAAAGAAAUAUUGAGAAAUUUCUAGAAGAUGAGAUAUAUGAGGAAGGAAAAUAAAAUUAGCAGAUUAUGCCAAGAAACAGGAUUAUUCCUAUCCAUGCGUUAUACGGACGGUCAGUUUCUUUUCCCCUUCGAAUCCCAAGGUCACAACCGUAAUUUCUCUCUAAUUCCGAGCCCAGAAGUUUCCAAAAUUUUACCCCCCCGCCCCGCACCAUCCAUCUCUUUUUACCGUUUCCACACCUUCUUCUCAUCAUCCUCGUGA